GAUGAACGCUGACAGAAUGCUUAACACAUGCAAGUCAACUUGAAUUUGGGUUUUUAACUUCGGUUUGGGUGGCGGACGGGUGAGUAACGCGUAAAGAACUUGCCUCACAGCUAGGGACAACAUUUGGAAACGAAUGCUAAUACCUAAUAUUAUGAUAAUAGGGCAUCCUAUAAUUAUGAAAGCUAUAAGCGCUGUGAGAGAGCUUUGCGUCCCAUUAGCUAGUUGGAGAGGUAACGGCUCACCAAGGCGAUGAUGGGUAGCCGGCCUGAGAGGGUGAUCGGCCACAAGGGGACUGAGACACGGCCCUUACUCCUACGGGAGGCAACAGUGGGGAAUAUUGGACAAUGGACCGAGAGUCUGAUCCAGCAAUUCUGUGUGCACGAUGAAGUUUUUCGGAAUGUAAAGUGCUUUCAGUUGGGAAGAAACAAAUGACGGUACCAACAGAAGAAGUGACGGCUAAAUACGUG
rnacentral:rRNA from 1 species